GUUCGCAGAAAGUGAUGUGAUGUUUUAUGUAAUUUGUUGCAUAUAUCGUGUGUUGAAGGAUGUCUGUUUUGUUUAGGAACGUAACAAAUAGCAUCUGGCAUGCAUUCAAUUCUUUGGCUACAGAUAACAAUGGGUUUGUUAUGAAAUCAAAGCUUAAGGUCUUGACUGCAAACAUUGGCACUUUAUUAGAUAUCUAUGGAGUUGAAAAAGGAUUGGAACAUUUUCGCAGUACAUCAAACCUGAACUUUGAACAUUACAGAUAUUAUCUUCAAAAAGAGGUUUUUUCAUCCUUUCCUGACUCUGCCUUGUCUCUGAGUGUACUAAGAGAUUUGGAAGAAAGAAUUGAUGAAGUUUGCUGGCUGGUCUGUCAGAAACGUUACUUGGAUCAGAGAGAACACCCUUUGUUUCAAGAUCAUUGUGUAUACAAGUUAUUCCGAAUCUUCUGUCUCCUUGCUGAAUUACUACCAGACAAUAGUACUGACUUCCAUGAUUGUUUUCAGGUUCUUCUUCAUCUUUCAGAAGCUCAAAGUGUAGCUUGCCAGCUGGAGUCUGCAUUGGGAUUGUCUGAAAAUGAUGCUUCUUUAUCAGGGUUUGAUUCCAUAGCUGGCGUGACGUCAGCAUUCCGUUUCUCAACGUUUCUUGCUAUUCUCGAAGCAAGAUGCAGUGCUAGAGAUGUGGACAGGAGCAGUUUGGAGCAGGACGGUAUUGAUGAGGCAGUUACUGAUAUGUACAACAUGUACUUGUAUGACGUGAUCAAGAAGGGUCCCCUAUUGAAACGGGGCUACUUACUGCCAACUCUGCGGGAGUACUUGUUUGUCCUGCAGCCUACAGAACUGAAUUAUUACAAAGCACAAGAUGAGCGAGAACAUUGUGGAACCAUUACUCUUAAUGCACAUUGUCGUGUAGAUGCGUGCUCUAACACUGGGCGAGACAAGGUGCAGAGGUUCGUGCUGUAUACAGGAGAGCGUAACAUUGAGUUGGCAGCAGCAGAUCACUGCAGCAGGUUGCAGUGGCUGUCUGCUUUGCAGACUGCUAUAGCUCAUAGUUCUGGUACUGGAUAUCAGCGUCUGCAGGCCCACCGUCGCCAGCAGCAGCGUGAUGUGGCAGAAAAGAACCGCCGCAUCGAAGAAAUCCGCCGUCGUAGCAGUCAUCUUUUUGAUAUGGAACAGACCCGUGCCCAGUUGCAAGCUGAAAAAAUGGCUCGGGUAGCAGCCGAGAGUCAGGCGCGAGCCCUGGAGGCCGUUCAUCUUGAAGAAGAACGGAAGCUGCAGGAGCUGGAAAAUGUUCGUGCCAGACUUGAAAAAUUGCUGGAAGAGGAGACACAAGCCAAGCGGGACGAAGAGAUUGUACGAAACUUGCAGGCUAGAGUUCUAAGGGAAGAGUGGGAGAAACGUGAGGAAUUGGAGCAGCUGCAAGACGAGCAAAGAAUUUUACUUGAACAAGAGCGAGAGAAGAGACGGGAAUUUGAGACGAGACAACAUGAGAAAGAAACUAAACUGCUAGAGGCAGAGAAGCGAUUGAGGCAGCUUGAAGAGGACCGGCUGCAGCUGGAUACAGAGCUUAAUUUUGCGAGGGACAAGAUCAUGGUCUCCGAGAAGUCAAAAGAGGUGCUUGAAGCGCAGCUCAGGGUAAUGGGGCAUCAGGUACGACAGUCAGAUCGCGUGAGACGUGCUUUGAGCUUCAUGCCUUCUACUAAAGAGUGUCCAAGUUUGGUCAGUUUGCGUCGACCAGCACGAGACAAUGGUCAAAUGACAGAUGAUGGUUAAUUCCUGAUGACAUCAUUAAAUACUUGCUUAACCCCUUUUACUGAUGUGUCAUGUAACAUGAUGGAGUACGCUGUAGCUGUGGUGUAGUCUCAAAUGAAGUUACAGAAUCCAUCCAUGACAUCAGUGAGCACCUGAUGCUGGUGUUCAAGGAAUCUGACAUCAUAAGUGCACAAGUUAUUGUGAACCCUCCAAUGCCAUCAAGACAAGUGUCCCAGCAUCCUUAAGAGGGGUGUCAUCAUGGACAUGGACAUAUGUUCAUGACAAAUGGCUGUUGUCAUGUUCUCAUGACCAGUGUCAUUGGCCAUGGGUCCAUUUCAAGUUUAGGUAUGGCAAACCUUUUUAAAGUCCUGUGUUUGUUUCUGUGAUGUAUUUCAAAUAAAUUAUUCCUUACAGUAUUAAUUGAGAGGUUUGCUCUUGAAUUUUGGCUACUAAUGCUGUUACAUCAGAUUGGCAAUUGUCUUCCUCAAAUUCAUGAAUGCAACACUACUUCCACUGGUAAAAUUAUUUCUGAAAUUGAAGUUCUCAUGAUUCAUCUUGGGAAAACAGGCAUCGCAAGGGAAAUUUUAUCACCACCACUUAAAACUUUUAAAGUGAGAAAGUUUUGGAUGAGCUGUUUCACUUAAACUAGCCAGUUUGAAGAGUUCUUGACUUUGUUUACCUUUCACAGAAUUAACUAUGAUGUCUAAUCAUCACAAAGAUGUGACAUCUGCCAUUUCGUGGUGGCAAAUGGAGAAAUAAGUACAGCAGGUUUAAUGGGACAUGAGCUAAGGACUUAAGUUGUUUACCACUCAAAUGAAUAUUGCAAAACCCAUAGCCCAUGUCCCAUUGAACUAACUGUACAAGAAUGUGAAUCCAUGUUCAGUUCCAGUGUCAGGUUAAUUGUGAUGCAUUGUGUCUGAUCCUUGGAUUCAUUUUCUAGAGGCCUAAAGGUUCAAUCUGAACAAUGGAUGUUACAGCAAGGAACAGCCAUUCCCAGCGUCUAGUAGACGACUAUGCUGUGCUGGGUUUAUGGCCAGUCCAGUCUAUUGAAAACAGCUUUCACUGCACACACAGGCUGGCACGGAAAACAGAGUGAUGGAGGAACCUUCGCUGCAUCAAGUUUUUACAUACCCCUCGAAAAUGGAUCAUUGAAAUUGCCACAAAAUGCAAAUCUUCCUCAAACUGAUGUGUCACUUCAUGUUUUAUUAGGUGAUGACGCGUAUCCUUUAAAGACUUAUCUGAUGAAACCAUAUUCAAAAAGAGCUUUAUCAAGGGAAGAACACAUGUAUAAUUACAGACUCUCCAGAGCACGGAGUGCCUUCGGUAUAAUUGCAGCCAAUUACUCUGAACCAGAUAAAGCUGAUUUAAUCGUAAAGUGCAUAUGCUUGUUACAUAAUAAUAUUAUUGAGAAGGAAAGUAUUUAUGAUCCAUCUAUCACAUCGUCGACACCACAAAAUGCAAGCAUAAUAAAUAUAAUCAAUCACUAUCAAAUAAUAGGUCAGCACAACAGGCUUGUGACAUCGGAGACGCAUUUAAAAAGUAUUUUAACAGUAGUGAAGGUAGCAUUAUCCAACAGUUCAACGUUCCCUAAUUAUCUGUGCCACACACAAUCCACUACUUCAACAAACAUAAAUGUAGAAUUUGUACUGGUGUAGCAAGGAAGAGUUUGUAAUAAACUUAAAUUGCAAUA